rnacentral:rRNA from 1 species
UUUAUUAGAAGAGACGCAUUUAUUAGAUAAAAAGCCAGUUCAUGCUUUUAUAGUAUGAAAAUUGGUGAUUUAUAAUAACUUAGCAAAUCGCAAAGUGAAAACAGGCGAUAAAUCAUUCAAGUUUCUGACCUAUCAGCUUUCGACGGUAUGGUAUUGGCUUACCGUGGCAGUGACGGUUAACGGGGGAUUAGGGUUCGAUUCCGGAGAGGGAGCCUGAGAAACGGCUACCACAUCUAAGGAAGGCAGCAGGCGCGCAAAUUACCCAAUUCUAACAGUUUGAGAGAGGUAGUAACAAGAAAUAACAAUACAAGGCAGUUAAAAUGCUUUGUAAUUGGAAUGAUAGAAAUUUAAACCCUUUUUAAAGUAUCAAUUGGAGGGCAAGUCUGGUGCCAGCAGCCGCGGUAAUUCCAGCUCCAAUAGCGUAUAUUAAAAUUGUUGCAGUUAAAAAGCUCGUAGUUGAAGUUCUGCUGAAAGUAACCGGUCUGCUUUUAAUAAAAGUGGUAUCUUGGUAUGUAUUUAGCAAUGAUGUCCUUUGAAGUGUUUUUUACUUUAUUGUAAUAAAGCAUAUUCAGGACUUUUACUUUGAGAAAAUUAGAGUGUUUCUAGCAGGCUAACGCUUUGAAUA